GGGUUCGCGCUCGCCGGCCGCCAUGGAGGCGCUGUCACCGCCGCUCUGCACGCUGCCGCCGGGCCCCGAGCCGCCCCGCUUCGUGUGCUACUGCGAAGGGGAGGGAAGCGGAGAGGGAGACCGCGGCGGCUUCAACCUGUACGUGACCGACGCCGCGGAGCUUUGGAGCACCCACUUCACGCCGGACAGCCUGGCGGCCCUCGUGGAAAGCCCGUUUUGGCCUGAGUGCGGCUGAGGACAUCACGCCCCGGUUCAGGGCAGCCUGUGAGCAGCAAGCUGUGGCUCUGACCCUGCAGGAGGACAGAGCAUCCCUGACCCUUUCAGGGGGGCCCUCGCCAUUGGCCUUUGACCUCUCCAAAGUACCAGGCCCAGAGGCAGCCCCCAGGCUGCAGGCACUGACACUGGACCUGGCACAACGUGUGUGCAGCCUGGAGCGGCGCCUGGCAGCUGCAGAACAGACGGCUGCCAGCCCCAGGAAGAGCUCCCAGCCUGCAGCGCCUCAGCUCUUCUUACCAGACCCAGAUCCCCAGAGAGGUGGCCCAGGACCUGGAGUCAAGAGGCGGUGUCCGGGGGAGUCUCUCAUCAACCCCGGCUUCAAGAGUAAGAAACCAGCUGGUGGCGUGGACUUUGAAGAUGCCUGAAGGUGCAGUACCAAGUGUGGUCCUGUGGGGUGCCUGCCUGUGAGGGGAGAGGCCCCAUUAGAGACCCCACCACCACCUCCACCUGCCCAUCCUGGGCCAGGACUAAGGCGGCUCCUCAAGUUCCUUCACCAUCAAAUAAACGGCUCCUUUGGCUGGAGGCUCUGGUGGGGCUCUGGCUCCUGCAUUGGCCUGGGAAGGGAGCAGGGAAGGUCCCUGGGCCUACACUCUGGGUGUGGGGCCACAGCAUGUGAACAGAUGCAGCAGCGUCUCAGCUCCCUGGAGACUUCCUUGCUGGGCUGGAGGGAGAAGCAUCUGGAGGGGUUAGAAGCCGCAGCCCGCAUGGCUGGAAGCAGGAGGCCAGAGGAGGUUGGUGGGCCGCAGGUGUGAGCCUGCUCGGCCUCCUGGUGUGACUGGAGCCCACA